GCUGCCUCCCAACUGGUUUACAGAGAAGGCACCUGGGCCACAUAAAUUGGGAGAGACUGAACCAGUGGAGGAGUCAGUUAGGAAAAGGGGCAGAUGAGAGCUGCUAAGGAGGAAAGGCUUGAUUGUAGUUAAGUGAGGCCUGAUAAAAUAUGAGUAAGGUGAAGAGAGAGAGGUGUAUCUUGGGGGUAGCUCUCCACAGUGAGAGGGGAGAAAAGACACUUAAACUGCUGUGAAGCUGCUGUGGAUUGUACCAACCUUCAUGAAGGGGUCUGAAAUGGCAACAUACCACAGGAUGUGCAGGAUUUUUGUGUCUAACAUUUUAUCAUGGCCGAAAAAUUACUGAAAUUAGUUACCCCAUGAGCAGCCCUCCAUAUGAAGCAGUGAUGAGAACCUAUCUGUUGAUGAGGGGACUCCCUGAAGGAGUGUGUACCAUCACUUUCUUCUGAAAACAUGCCACAGCCUGUUCUAUACUUCUAGAAAUUGGGUUUAACCAGGAGUGGCUGCACUAGCAGGUGUCUAUUAGCUGUGUUCCUCCUCCUUCCUCUGGGUUCCCCCAUCUCUGCCAGUAUGAAGUACAUCUCUCUACCUUCAAACUUGCCAUAUGUGACACUAGUACUCUAUAUGCAGCCAAAUGCCUGAAACGUUCUAUUGAGAUGUUGUUAGUCUCCUUGGUUGUUUGAGACAUUUAUUUGUGUGAAAGCCCCAAUUGACACACACACAAUGCAAACAUGUGAUUCCUGCUGGCAUUCAUCCCCUGGAUUCCAGCACAGUUUGUAAACUUAAGAAUGCUCACCAGCUGCUGGAGGAAGCAAGCUGGUAGCAAAGGGGCUCGCGGGAGACAUGGAUGGGAAGCUACUAUGGAGGAGACUGAGCCCCUGACAACCAGGCAUAACAAUGAAUGGUAACACUGACACCUGCUAAUCUCAGACCAAAGUAUUGUCAACAUUUCAUACAUAGUCCCAUGUUGUACUCCACCAAUAUAAAAGUUGUUCCAAAGUGCCCUCAACCUUCUCCACUACUGAAAACAUUGCAUAACCCCUCAUGCACAUAAUGGCUGUGUGUUCCCCUUCUGGUGGCUAUAGCAUAUGCUGAGGUUUAUCUGUAGGCUCUUCCUCCUGCCUAUGAGUUAAUGGCCCUGCUCUGUUAGCUCAAACAGUAGUAACUCUAGAUUUGAAAGCAUGAAGUCCAGGCUUCGUUUCCCCCAUAGAUGACCUAGCAUCUAGUCAUGGGGGGAGACAAAAUCCUCACUGUGUUAACUUAUCUUGUACAUUUUAAAGGAGGAUCUGAAGAAAAUGUCAAACUAGACACAAGGCACAUAUUAAAAAAAUGCCAUAACUAACCUUAUAUUAUUUUUUCACCACAAACUGCCCUUGAAAACUCAAGCUACAGUAAUUUUGAGAUGUUCAAUUUUAUAAACUCCUCAAUAUUUAAUUAGUUAAUAAAAUAGGCAUUCUACCCUAAUUUUCUCA